CAAUAGCGUAAAUUAAAGUUGUUGCAGUUAAAAAGCUCGUAGUUGGAUUUCUGGUGGGAGCGAUCGGUCUGGCGCUUAGCGCGAGUACUUGCAUCGUCUCCGGCCAUCCUUGGGGAGAGUCUGUCUGGCAUUAGGUUGUCGGGCAGAGGAUCCUCAUCGUUUACUGUGAAAAAAUUAGAGUGUUCAAAGCAGGCUUAUGCCGUUGAAUAUAUUAGCAUGGAAUAAUAAGAUAGGACUUUGGUACUAUUUUGUUGGUUUGCGCACCAAAGUAAUGAUUAAUAGGGACAGUUGGGGGUAUUCGUAUUCCGUUGUCAGAGGUGAAAUUCUUGGAUUUACGGAAGACGAACUACUGCGAAAGCAUUUACCAAGGAUGUUUUCAUUAA
rnacentral:rRNA from 1 species